GACCCAUGUGGAUUGGGACCUGAUCAACGAGCCUUCGAUGUUCGAUCCAGCUCAGAUUUUCUCGGAUGGACCUCGUUCCAGUCGAGAUAAGUAU
rnacentral:tRNA from 1 species